GAUGAACGCUGGCGGCGUGCCUAAUACAUGCAAGUCGAGCGAACGGACGAGAAGCUUGCUUUUCUGAUGUUAGCGGCGGACGGGUGAGUAACACGUGGAUAACCUACCUAUAAGACUGGGAUAACUUCGGGAAACCGGAGCUAAUACCGGAUAAUAUUUUGAACCGCAUGGUUCAAAAGUGAAAGACGGUCUUGCUGUCACUUAUAGAUGGAUCCGCGCCGCAUUAGCUAGUUGGUAUGGUAACGGCUUACCAAGGCAACGAUGCAUAGCCGACCUGAGAGGGUGAUCGGCCACACUGGAACUGAGACACGGUCCAGACUCCUACGGGAGGCAGCAGUAGGGAAUCUUCCGCAAUGGGCGAAAGCCUGACGGAGCAACGCCGCGUGAGUGAUGAAGGUCUUCGGAUCGUAAAACUCUGUUAUUAGGGAAGAACAUAUGUGUAAGUAACUGUGCACAUCUUGACGGUACCUAAUCAGAAAGCCACGGCUAACUACGUG
rnacentral:rRNA from 1 species